rnacentral:rRNA from 1 species
UACGAAGGGGGCUAGCGUUGCUCGGAAUCACUGGGCGUAAAGGGUGCGUAGGCGGCUUUCUAAGUCGGGGGUGAAAUCCUGGAGCUCAACUCCAGAACUGCCUUCGAUACUGGAGAGCUCGAGUCCGGGAGAGGUGAGUGGAACUGCGAGUGUAGAGGUGAAAUUCGUAGAUAUUCGCAAGAACACCAGUGGCGAAGGCGGCUCACUGGCCCGGUACUGACGCUGAGGUGCGAAAGCGUGGGGAGCGAUCCGG